rnacentral:Y_RNA from 1 species
GGCUGGUCUAAGUGCAGUGGUGUUUACAACUAAUUGAUCACAGCCAGUUACAGAUUCCUUUGUUCCUUCUCCACUCCCACUGCUUCACUUGACUAGCCUUUA